rnacentral:lncRNA from 1 species
AUAUUCCAUCAGACUUGACGGAAUAUUCCGUUGUCUCCUACCUCUGAGCUCCGGCGACCGUCACCGGCGCCAGAAAACUGGGAAAGUUUUAAACCGUGAUAUCUCAGCCAUUUUUGCACCAUUUUUCACGAUCUUUAUACCAAAAUGAAGUGCAUGAAGAAUAGAACAAGUUUAUACCUCUUUCAAGCCUAAAAAACCACGGGAUCUCGCUGGAAAAUUCGAGAAAAACCGGUCAAGGUUGAAACUCACUAUCCCGAUGUCCAAAACACUCCAACGAUACACC